UACAGAGGUCUCGAGCGUUAGGCGGAAUCACUGGGCUUAAAGCGUGUGUAGGUGGAUCGUUAAGUACCUUGUGAAAUCCCACGGCUUAACCGUGGAACUGCUUGGUAUACUGGCGGUCUUGAGUCAGCUAGGGGCUACCGGAACAAAUGGUGGAGCGGUGAAAUGCGUAGAUAUCAUUUGGAACGCCAAUGGUGAAAACAGGCUGCUGGGGUUGCGCCGACGCUGAGACACGAAAGCCAGGGGAGCAAACGGG
rnacentral:rRNA from 1 species